rnacentral:misc_RNA from 1 species
UGUUGUCAGCAAGGUUGAGGAACCCUAAGAGGGUGAGGUUCCCUGUAUAUGGAAAUGUGGUCCCUGACAAGCUCAGCCCCUGCAGGUUUAGAGACGUAACUCUACGGUGUUUCGAACCACAAGUAACCCCUUGCCAUUUACAGAAGUGCACAGAAUCGUUCCAUGAGCUCAAAAUUCCAUGUGGAUGGUCUAUAUUGGCUUUGAACUCCAAAAGUGAA